GGUGUAGACGGUUUUUUUAAGUCAGUUGUGAAAUCUCCUGACUCAAUUGGGAGCCUGCAAGUGAUACUGGAGGACUUGAGGGCGGCAGAAGAAAGCAGAAUUCCCGGUGUAGCGGUGAAAUGCGUAGAUAUCGGGAAGAAUACCAGUGGCGAAGGCGGCUUUCUAGGCUGCUCCUGACGUUGAGGCCCGAAAGUGUGGGGAGCGAAACGGAUUAGAUACCCGUGUAGUCCACACCUUAAACUUUGAAUACUAGGUAUAGGGGGUAUCGACCCUCUCUGUGCCGAAGCUAACGCUUUAAGUAUUCCGCCUGGGGACUACGGCCGCAAGGCUAAA
rnacentral:rRNA from 1 species